rnacentral:rRNA from 1 species
UACGUAGGUGGCUAGCGUUGUCCGGAUUUACUGGGCGUAAAGAGCGCGCAGGCGGUCGUUCAAGUCGAGUGUGAAAGCCCCCGGCUCAACUGGGGAGGGUCACUCGAUACUGAUCGACUCGAAGGCAGGAGAGGGAAGCGGAAUUCCCGGUGUAGUGGUGAAAUGCGUAGAUAUCGGGAGGAACACCAGUGGCGAAGGCGGCUUCUGGCCUGCCUCUUGACGCUGAGGCGCGAAAGCUAGGGUAGCAAACGGG